rnacentral:rRNA from 1 species
GCGGCGGACGGGUGAGUAAUACUUAGGAAUCUGCCCAGUAGUGGGGGAUAGCACGGGGAAACUCGUAUUAAUACCGCAUACACCCUACGGGGAAAAGGGGGCGCUUGCGCUCUCGCUAUUGGAUGAGCCUAAGUCGGAUUAGCUAGUUGGUGGGGUAAAGGCCUACCAAGGCGACGAUCUGUAGCUGGUCUGAGAGGAUGAUCAGCCACACCGGGACUGAGACACGGCCCGGACUCC